rnacentral:rRNA from 1 species
AGUGAACGCUGGCGGUAGGCCUAACACAUGCAAGUCGAACGGCAGCACAGUAAGAGCUUGCUCUUACGGGUGGCGAGUGGCGGACGGGUGAGGAAUACAUCGGAAUCUACUUUUUCGUGGGGGAUAACGUAGGGAAACUUACGCUAAUACCGCAUACGACCUACGGGUGAAAGCAGGGGAUCUUCGGACCUUGCGCGAUUGAAUGAGCCGAUGUCGGAUUAGCUAGUUGGCGGGGUAAAGGCCUACCAAGGCGACGAUCCGUAACUGGUCUGAGAGGAUGAUCAGCCACACUGGAACUGAGGCACGGUCCAGACUCCUACGGGAGGCAGCAGUGGGGAAUAUUGCGCAAUGGGGGCAAGCCUGAUCCAGCCAUACCGCGUGAGUGAAGAAGGCCUUCGGGUUGUAGAGCCCUUUUGUUGGGAAAGAAGAGCAGCAGGUUAAUACCCCGCUGUUCUGACGGUACCCAAAGAAUAAGCACCGGCUAACUUCGUG